rnacentral:rRNA from 1 species
AAAAAAGGUAAGCUACUAAGAGCGAAUGGUGGAUGCCUUGACUGGUAAAGGCGAUGAAGGACGUACUAGACUGCGAUAAGCUACGGGGAGCUGUCAAGAAGCUUUGAUCCGUAGAUUUCCGAAUGGGGCAACCCAAUGUAUAGAGAUAUACAUUACCUAUAUAGGAGCGAACGAGGGGAAUUGAAACAUCUUAGUACCCUCAGGAAAAGAAAUCAAUAGAGAUUGCGUCAGUAGCGGCGAGCGAAAGCGCAAGAGGGCAAACCCAGUGCUUGCACUGGGGGUUGUAGGACUGCAAUGUGCAAGAGGUAAGUUUAGCAGAACAUUCUGGAAAGUAUAACCAUAGAGGGUGAUAGUCCCGUAUGCGAAAAACAAACCUUAGCUAGCAGUAUCCUGAGUAGGGCGGGACACGAGGAAUCCUGUCUGAAUCCGGGUCGACCACGAUCCAACCCUAAAUACUAAUACCAGAUCGAUAGUGCACAAGUACCGUGAGGGAAAGGUGAAAAGAACUGAGGUGAUCAGAGUGAAAUAGAACCUGAAACCAUUUGCUUACAAUCAUUCAGAGCCCUAUGUAGCAAUACAGGGUGAUGGACUGCCUUUUGCAUAAUGAGCCUGCGAGUUGUGGUGUCUGGCAAGGUUAAGCAAACGCGAAGCCGUAGCGAAAGCGAGUCUGAAUAGGGCGCUUAGUCAGAUGCUGCAGACCCGAAACGAAGUGAUCUAUCCAUGAGCAAGUUGAAGCUAGUGUAAGAACUAGUGGAGGACUGAACCCAUAGGCGUUGAAAAGCCCCGGGAUGACUUGUGGAUAGGGGUGAAAGGCCAAUCAAACUUCGUGAUAGCUGGUUCUCUCCGAAAUAUAUUUAGGUAUAGCGUUGUGUCGUAAUAUAAGGGGGUAGAGCACUGAAUGGGCUAGGGCAUACACCAAUGUACCAAACCCUAUCAAACUCCGAAUACCUUAUAUGUAAUCACAGCAGUCAGGCGGCGAGUGAUAAAAUCCGUCGUCAAGAGGGAAACAACCCAGACUACCAGCUAAGGUCCCUAAAUCUUACUUAAGUGGAAAACGAUGUGAAGUUACUUAAACAACCAGGAGGUUGGCUUAGAAGCAGCCAUCCUUUAAAGAAAGCGUAAUAGCUCACUGGUCUAGUGAUUUUGCGCGGAAAAUAUAACGGGGCUAAAGUAAGUACCGAAGCUGUAGACUUGCACACAACUUAGAUUAUUUAAGUUUAGAAUAUGAGAAACUAAGUUAUAUGUUUAGUUAUAUUUUUACUGAUUUUUAUAGAGUAAAGAUAGAAAUAAAACUUAGUAAAAUCAGUAAAAAUAUUCUUAGACUAAAGUUAAGUAGUUUAAGUUGUGUGCAAGUGGUAGGAGAGCGUUCUAUUUGCGUCGAAGGUAUACCGGUAAGGAGUGCUGGA